rnacentral:rRNA from 2 species
GGACGAACGCUGGCGGCGUGCCUAAUACAUGCAAGUAGAACGCUGAAGCUUGGUGCUUGCACCGAGCGGAUGAGUUGCGAACGGGUGAGUAACGCGUAGGUAACCUGCCUGGUAGCGGGGGAUAACUAUUGGAAACGAUAGCUAAUACCGCAUAAAAUGGAUUAUCGCAUGAUAAUCGAUUGAAAGGUGCAAAUGCAUCACUACCAGAUGGACCUGCGUUGUAUUAGCUAGUUGGUGGGGUAACGGCUCACCAAGGCGACGAUACAUAGCCGACCUGAGAGGGUGAUCGGCCACACUGGGACUGAGACACGGCCCAGACUCCUACGGGAGGCAGCAGUAGGGAAUCUUCGGCAAUGGACGGAAGUCUGACCGAGCAACGCCGCGUGAGUGAAGAAGGUUUUCGGAUCGUAAAGCUCUGUUGUAAGAGAAGAACGAGUGUGAGAGUGGAAAGUUCACACUGUGACGGUAUCUUACCAGAAAGGGACGGCUAACUACGU